AGAUUAAGCCAUGCAUGUCUCAGUGCAAGCCGUCCAGUACGGUGAAACCGCGAAAGGCUCAUUAAAUCAGUUAUGGUUCCUUAGAUUGUACCCACGUUACUUGGAUAACUGUGGUAAUUCUAGAGCUAAUACAUGCCGACAGAGUUCCGACCAGCGUCGGGCGCGGUUCACGCCGUCGCUCGGCGUUCGGAAGGAACGCUCUUAUUAGAUCAAAACCGGCYAAGCGGUCGUUCGCGUUUCGCGACGUGYNCGACCGUAAGCGGCCCGYGCAAAGACUUGACGACUYUGAAUAAUUUCKAGCUGAUCGCACGGUYUAGUACCGGCGACGUAUCUUUCAAAUGUCUGCCUUAUCAACUGUCGACGGUAGGUUCGAUGCCUACCGUGGUGGUAACGGGUAACGGGGAAUCAGGGUUCGAUUCCGGAGAGGGAGCCUGAGAAACGGCUACCACAUCUAAGGAAGGYAGCAGGCGCGCAAAUUACCCACUYCCAGUUCGGGGAGGUAGUGACGAAAAAUAACGAUAYGGGACUCUUAUGAGGCCYYGUAAUCGGAAUGAGUACACUUUAAAACCUUGGUCACACGAGGAUCAAU
rnacentral:rRNA from 1 species